rnacentral:tRNA from 1 species
UCUAAAAUGACAGACAGAUUGUAUAGGAUUUAAGCUCCUACUAGGAAGAAUUUUCUUCUUUUAGAA